rnacentral:lncRNA from 1 species
UUAAAUAACUGCACGCUAUGCUACUAUAGUUAAGAUUUUACACCCAAAGCACUAUAGUCCAUUUAACACGGUAUAUUACGCUCAUCAGUCGAUUUUCGGUCAGUCAUCCGGCCAUUUACCUGGCGCCCAAAUUAAUGCCACAUGUACAUCCAUAUCUGCUUCUCCGCUCAAAUUAGAAAAAAAAUCCGUCCCUAAAUUCUAUUCGUUGGCUCAACAGCGGCACAAGCUGC